rnacentral:rRNA from 1 species
UACAGAGGUGGCAAGCGUUGUUCGGAAUUACUGGGCGUAAAGGGCGCGUAGGCGGUUCGUUAAGUCCUGUGUGAAAUCCCCCGGCUCAACUGGGGAACUGCACAGGAAACUAGCGGGCUUGAGUUCGGGAGAGGGAAGCGGAAUUCCGGGUGUAGCGGUGAAAUGCGUAGAUAUUCGGAAGAACACCAGUGGCGAAGGCGGCUCACUGGACUGGUAUUGACGCUGAGGUGCGAAAGCGUGGGGAGCAAACAGG